GUUUUUUUUUGUUAGUUUAGUUUUUCUCUUUCGUAUUUUCUUUUCUUUUAUUUACUUACUUUUCUAUUUUAAAUCAUUUUAAAUUAUUUAGGCCUUUUAUAAAAAUGUGUUUACUACACCAUAUUUAUCUAUGUAAUGUUUAGUACAACCCGAACAUUUUUAUUUUAAUGUUUGAAUAUUUUCAUUAUUUACCAAACUUUGAAUUUGAAUUUUGGACCGGUUUUGAUCUAACAAUAGAUUAGCAGCAGUAACCGUGGUGACGUGGCACCAUUAGCAUGGGAUCACUGUAGCUUAAUUAUCUGGGCGUCACAUCAAUGACAUCCAAUGUCCAUGGUCAGGAAACCAUGACCAUCUGUUGAUCAAUGAGCUAGUCAACUAGAGGCUCACUAGGGACAUGUUGUGGUCUAUGCAUUCACACAUGUAUUACGGUUUCCAGUUAAUACAAUUAUAGCAUGAACAAUAGACAAUUAUCAUGAACAAGGAAAUACAAUAAUAACCAUUUUAUUAUUGCCUCUAGGGCAUAUUUCCAACAGUCUCCCACUUGCACUAGAGUCAAUAAUCUAGUUCACAUCACUAUGUGAUUGUAAUGAAUCAACACCCAUGGGGUUUGAUCAUAUCUUGCUUGUGAGAGAGGUUAUUAGUCAACGAAUCUGAACCUUUCAGAUCCGUGUGUGCUUUGCAAAUCUCUAUAUCAUCUCCUAGAUGCACCUACCACGCUCUAUUUGGAGCUAUUCCAAAUAACUGUUCUACUAUACGAAUCCAGUUUACUACUCAGAAUAAUCCGGAUUAGUGUCAAAGUUUGCAUCGGCGUAACCCUUUACGACGAACUCUUUUACCACCUCCAUAAUCGAGAAAAUUCCUUAGUCCACUAGCUACUAAGGAUAAGUUUGACCAUUGACCUGUGAUCCAUUCCUGGAUCACUCUUGUAACCCUUGACUGACUCAUGGCAAGGCAUACUUCAGGUGCGGUACACAGCAUAGCAUACUAUAGAGCCUACGUCUGAAGCAUAGGGGACGACCUUCGUCCUUUCUCUCUCUUCUGCUGUGGUCAUGUCUUGAGUCUUACUCAAUAUUCACACCUUAUAACACAGCCAAGAACUCCUUCUUUGCCGAUCUAUUUUGAACUCCUUCAAAAUCUUGUCACGGUAUGUAUUUAUUUGAAAGUACUAUUAAGCGUUUUUGAUCUAUCCUUAUAGAUCUUGAUGCUCAAUGUUCAAGUAGCUUAAUCCAGGUUUUCCAUUGGAAAACACUUUUCAAAUAACCCUAUAUGUUGUCCAAAAAUUCUACAUCAUUUCUGAUCAACAAUAUGUUAAUAACAUAUACUCAUCAGAAAUUCUAUAGGGCUCCCAGUCACUUCUUUUGAAAUACAAGUUUCUCAUAAACUUUGUAUAAACCCAAAAUCUUUGAUUAUCUCAUCAAAGUGUAUAUUCCAACUCCAAGAUGCUUACUCCAAUCCUUAGAAGGAUUCCUGGAGCUUUGCAUACUUGUUAGCAUCUUAUAGGAUUGACAAAACCUUUUGGUUGUACAUAUACAACCUUUCCUCAAAAAUCGUCGAGGAAACAAUGUUUUGACAUCCUAUCUGCAAGAUUUCAUAAAUAAUGCAGUAACUGCUAAUAUAAUUCCAACAGACUCUUAGCAUCGCUACGAGUGAGGAAGUCUCAUCAUAGUCAACUCCUUCAACUUGUCGAAAAACAUCUUAGCGACAAGUCGAGCUUUCUUAAUGGUGACACUUACCAUCAUUGUCUGUCUUCCUUUUAAAAUCCAUCUGUACCCAAUAGCCUUACGACCAUCAAGUAAUUCUUCCAAAGUCCACACUUUGUUCUCAUACAUGGAUCCUCUCUCGAAUUUUAUGACCUCGAGCCAUUUGUCGGAAUCCGGGCCCACCAUCGCUUCUCCAUAGCUCGUAUGUUCAUUGUUGUCUAGCAACAUGACCUCCAAGACAGGAUUACCGUACCACUCUGAAGCAGUACCUCUCCUUGUCGUCCUACGAGGUUUGGUAGUGACUUGAUCCGAAGUUUCAUGAUCACUAUCAUCAACUUCCACUUCAAUUGGUGUAGGUGCCACAGGAACAACUUCAUGUGCCCUGCUACACACUAGUUGAAGUGAUGGUUCAAUAACCUUAUCAAGUCUCCACCAUCCUCCCACUCAAUUCUUUCGAGAGAAACUUUUCCUCGAGAAAGGACCCAUUUAAGAAACAAUCACUUUUGCUUCCAGAUCUAAAAUAGGAGGUAUACCUAACUGUUUUGGGUGACCUAUGAAGAUGCAUUUAUCCGUUUUGGGUUCGAGCUUACUAGGAUGAAACUUUUUCACAUAAGCAUCGCAGCCCCAAACUUUUAAGAAACGACAGCUUAGGUUUCUCUAAACCAUAGUUCAUACGUUGUCAUCUCAACGGAAUUACGUGGUGCCCUAUUUGAAGUGAAUGCGGUUGUCUCUAAUGCCUAACCCAUAAACGAUAGUGGUAAUUUGAUAAGAGACAUCAUGGUAUGCACCAUAUCCAAUAGGGUGCAGCUAUGAUGUUCAGACACACCAUCACACUAUGGUGUUCCAACCGGUAUUAGUUGUGAAACAAUUUCCACAAUGUCUUAAUUGUAUACCAAACUCAUAACUCAGAUACUCAUCUCUAUGAUCAUAUCAUAGACAUUUUAUCCUCUUAUCACAACGAUCUUCAACUUCACUUUGAAAUUACUUGAACCUUUCAAUAAUUCAGACUUAUGUUUCAUCAAGUAAAUAUACUCAGCAUCUACUCAAAUCAUCUGUGAAGUAAGAACAUAACGAUAUCCACUGCGUGCCUCAGCACUCAUUGGACUGCAUACAUCAAAAUGUAUUACUUCCAACAAUUUGCUUUCUUGUUCCAUCUUAGUGAAAACGAGGCUUUUCAGUCAUCUUGCCCAUGUGGUAUGAUUUCCAUGUCUCAAGUGAGUCCAAAUGAUCCAUCUGCAUGGAGUUUCUUCAUGCAUACAUACUAAUAGACAUGGUUCGCAUGUCUCAAACUUUUCAAAAAACGAGUGAGUCCAAAAGAUCCAUCAACAUGGAGCUUCUUCAUGCGUUUUAUACCAAUAUGACUCAAAUGGCAGUGCCACGAGUAAGUGGUACUAUCAUUACUAUCUUAUAUCUUUUGGCAGAACAUGUGUAUCACUACGAUCGAGAUUCAAUAAACCAUUCAUUUUAGGUGCAAGACCAUUGAAGGUAUUAUUCAAAUAAACAGAGUAACCAUUAUUCUCCUUAAAUGAAUAACUGUAUUGAGAUAGACAUAAUACAAUCAUGUCUAUGCUCAACGCAAACACCAAAUAACAAUUAUUUAGGUUUAACACCGAUCCCGAUGGCAGAGGGAGCAUGCGAUGUUUGAUCACAUCAACCUUGGAAAUACUUCCAACACAUAUCGUCACCUCGCCUUUAGCUAGUCUCCGUUUAUUCCAUAGCCUUUUAUUUCGAGGUACUAACACUUAUCAACUGAACCGAUAUCUAUUACCAUGGUGCUACUAGGAGUACUAGUAAAGUACACAUCAAUAUAAUGUAUAUCCAAUAUACUCCUAUCGACCUUGCCAGCCUUCUCAUCUACCAAGUAUCUAGGGUAGUUCUGCUUCAGUGACUGUUCCCCUCAUUACAGAAGCACUUAUUCUCGGGUUUGGGUUCGACCUUGGGUUUCUUCACUAGAUCAGCAACUGAUUUGCCAUUUCAUGAAGUAUCCCUUCUUGCCCUUGCCCUUCUUGAAACUAGUGGUUUCAUCGACCAUCAACAAUUGAUGCUCCUACUUGAUUUCUACUUUCGCGGUGUCAAACAUCGCGAAUUGCUCAAGGAUCAUCGUGUCUAUCCAUGAUAUGUUAUAGUUCAUCAUGAAGCUCUAAUAGCUUGUUGGCAGUGACUAUGGAGAACCAUCACUAUCUCAUCUGGAAGAUUAACUCCCACUCAAUUCAAGUGAUUGUAGUACUCAGACAAUCUGAGCACAUGCUCAACAAUUGAUCUUUUCUCCCUUAGUUUGCAGGCUAAGAAACUCGUCGGAGGUCUCAUACCUCUUGACGUGGGCACGAUCCUGAAAUCCCAAUUUCAGCCCUUGGAACAUCUCAUAUGUUCCGCGACGUUUCAAAAAACGUCUUCGGCGCCACAAUUCUAAACCGUUUAACAUUACUGAACUAUCAUGUAGUCAUCAAAACGUGUAUGUCAGAUGUUCGCAACAUCCACAGACGACGCUCGAGGUUCAGCACACCGAGCGGUGCAUUAAGGACAUAAGCCUUAUGCGUAGCAAUGAGGACAAGCCUUAGUUUACGGACCCAGACCGCAUAAUUGCUACUAUCAACUUUCAACUAUAUUUUCUCUAGGAACAUAUCUAAAAAAGUAGAACUAAAACGCGAGCUACGACAUAAUUUGCAAAGACCUUUUGUCUAUGUUCAGGAUAAUUAAGUUCAUCUAAUGAACUCCCACUCAGAUAGACAUCCCUCUAGUCAUCUAAGUGAUACAUGAUCCGAGUCAACUAGGCCGUGUCCGAUCAUCACAUGAGACGGACUAGUCAUCAUCGGUGAACAUCUUCAUGUUAAUCGUAUCUACUAUACGACUCAUGUGCGACCUUUCGGUCUCUUGUGUUCCGAGGCCAUGUCUGUACAUGCUAGGAUCGUCAAGUCAACCUAAGUGUUUCGCGUGUGUAAAUCUGGCUUACACCCGUUGUAUGUGAACGUUAGAAUCUAUCACAGCCGAUCAUCACGUGGUGCUUCGAAACAACGAUAUUUCGCAACGGUGCACAGUUAGGGGGAACACUUGCUUGAAAUUUUAGUGAGGGAUCAUCUUAUUUAUGCUACCGUCGUUCUGAGCAAAUAAGAUGUAAACAUGACAAACUUCACAUGCAAAUCAUAAAGUGACAUGAUAUGGCCAUCAUCAUCUUGCGUCGUUGAUCUCCAUCUUUGAGGCGCGGCAUGAUCACCUUCGUCACCGGCAUGACACCAUGAUCUCCAUCAUCAUGAUCUUCAUCAUCGUGUCUCCAUGAAGUUGUCUCGCCAACUAUUACUUCUACUACUAUGGCUAACGGUUAGCAAUAAAGUAAAGUAAUUACAUGGCGUUGUUCAAUGACACGCAGGUCAUACAACAAAUUAAGACAACUCCUAUGGCUCCUGCCGGUUGUCAUACUCAUCGACAUGCAAGUCGUGAUUCCUAUUACAAGAACAUGAUCAAUCUCAUACAUCACAUAUCAUUCAUCACAUUCUUUUGGCCAUAUCACAUCACAUAGCAUACCCUGCAAAAACAAGUUAGACGUCCUCUAAUUGUUGUUUACAUGUUUUACGUGGCUGCUAUGGGUUUCUAGCAAGAACGUUUCUUACCUACGCAAAAGCCACAACGUGAUAUGCCAAUUGCUAUUUACCCUUCAUAAGGACCCUUUUCAUCGAAUCCGAUCCGACUAAAGUGGGAGAGACUGGCACCCGCUAGCCACCUUAUGCAACAAGCGCAUGUCAGUCGGUGGAACCUGUCUCACGUAAGUGUACGUGUAAGGUCGGUCCGGGCCGCUUCAUCCCACAAUACCGUCGAAACAAGAUAGGACUAGUAACGGUAAGCAUAUUGAAAAAAUCAACGCCCAGAACAACUUCUGUUCUACUCAUGCAUUGAAUCUACGCAAUAGACCUAGCUCAUGAUGCCACUAUUGGGGAACAUAGCAGAAAUUCAAAAUUUUCUACGCAUCACCAAGAUCAAACUAUGGAGAUUCUAGCAACAAGAGAGAGAGGGAGUGCACCUUCAUACCCUUGAAGCUCGCUCAGCGGAAGCGUUACAAGAACGCAGUCGGUGGAUUCGUUCACGAAGCGAUUCACAUCGCGGCCGAAUCCGAUCUAAGCACCGAAUAACGGUGCCUCCGCGUUCAACACAUGUACAGCCCGGGGACGUCUCCUCCUUCUUGAUCUAGCAAGGGGAGAGGAGAAGUUGAGGGAGAACUCCGACAGCACGACGGCAUGGUGGUGAUGGAGCUCGUGGUUCUCCGACAGGGCUUUGCCAAGCACUACGGAGGAGGAGGAGGUGUUGGAGGAGGGAGAGGGCUGCGCCAGGGGAAGCUUGUGGAUGCCCUCUCUCUCCAUCACUAUAUAUAGGGGGAAGGGAGGAGGGGGAGGCGCCCUAGGGUUCCCUAGGGGAGGGGCGGCGGCCACAGGGGAAACCCUAGAUGGGUUUGGGCGCCCCCACCCCCUAGGAAACUUGCCCCCCAAGCCGGGAGGGGCGGCUGCCCUAGGGGUGGCGCCCCCACCUCUCCUGGUUACGUGAGAUGGGAUGGGAGGGGCGCUCAGCCCCUUAGUUGGCUGAUGUGCCCUCUCCCCUUGGCCCAUAAGGCCCCGCAACGCUUGGCGGGGCCUCCGAAACCCCUUUCGGACACGCUGGUCAUCACCUGGUACCCCCGGAACAAUUCCGGACUCCAAUACCCUUCGUCCAAUAUACCGAUCUUCACCUCCGGACCAUUUCGGAGCUCCUCGUCAUGUCCGGGAUCUCAUCCGGGACUCCGAACAACCUUCGGUAACCACAUACUAUUUCCCAUAACAACUCUAGCGUCACCGAACCUUAAGUGUGUAGACCCUACGUGUUCGGGAACCAUGCAGACAUGACCGAGACGUUCUCCAGUCAAUAACCAACAGCGGGAUCUGGAUACCCAUGUUGGUUCCAACAUGUUCCACGAUGAUCUCAUCGGAUGAACCAUGAUGUCAAGGAUUCAAGCAAUCCCGUAUGCAAUUCCCUUUGUCAAUCGGUACGUUACUUGCCCGAGAUUCGAUCGUUGGUAUCCCAAUACCUCGUUCAAUCUCGUUACCGGCAAGUCACUUUACUCGUUCCGUAAUGCAUGAUCCCGUGACUAACUACUUAAUCACAUUGAGCUUAUUAUGAUGAUGCAUUACCGAGUGGUCCUAGAGAUACCUCUCCGUCAUACGGAGUGACAAAUCCCAGUCUCGAUUCGUGCUAACCCAACAGACACUUUCGGAGAUACCUGUAGUGCACCUUUAUAGUCACCCAGUUACGUUGUGACUAUCGGCACACCCAAAGCACUCCUAUGGUAUCCAGGAGUUACACAAUCUCAUGGUCUAAGGAAAUGAUACUUGACAUUAGAAAAGCUUUAGCAAACGAACUACACGAUCUUGUGUUAUGCUUAGGAUUGGGUCUUGUCCAUCACAUCAUUCUCCUAAUGAUGUGAUCCCGUUAUCAAUGACAUCCAAUGUCCAUGGUCAGGAAACCAUGACCAUCUGUUGAUCAACGAGCUAGUCAACUAGAGGCUCACUAGGGACAUGUUGUGGUAUAUGCAUUCACACAUGUAUUACGGUUUCCAGUUAAUACAACUAUAGCAUGAACAAUAGACAAUUAUCAUGAACAAGGAAAUACAAUAAUAACCAUUUUAUUAUUGCCUCUAGGGCAUAUUUCCAACACCCCUUUCCUUCUCCUUCUCCCUUCCCCCUUUCCUACUCCGUGUGGGAGGUGGAAUCCUACUAGGACUAGGGAGUCCUAGUAGGACUCCACACCUUGGCGCGCCCCCUUAGGGCCGGAUGCCUCUCCCUCUCCCUCCUUUAUAUACGGGGGCAGGGGGCACCCUAGAACACACAAGUUGAUCUUUUAGCCGUGUGCGGUGCCCCCUCCACAGUUACACACAUCGCUCAUAUCGUCGUAAUGCUUAGGCGAAGCCCUGCGUCGGUAACUUUAUCAUCACCAUCGCCACGUCAUUGUGCUGAUGAAACUCUCCCUCGACCUCAACUGGAUCAAGAGUACAAGGGACGUCAUCGAGCUGAACGUGUGCUGAACGCGGAGGUGACGUACGUUCGGUGCUUGGAUCGGUUGGAUCACGAAGAUGCUCUGAGCUCGGUAGCGAGUUGUCUCUCCUCUCCACCGCCGCUUCAUUGGCUGCCAAGAUCUGUGUGUCCGCUGUGCCAUCCCUGUUAGGUAACUGAUGUAAAUAUCAUACAGCCUCUGGAUUACACUCACACGAGAUGUGGCAGACUACUGGUACGAUAUACACUUGGGGAAAAGAAGAAAAGAAACAGGUAGUCGGGUGCCAUGUCGUUGCCUUGAUCCAAGCCCACAUGCCUCCUCCUAUGAUACUCUGCGCUUAAGUAGUAUUGUCCCACUCCGGGCCCACAAACCCGCAGUUGGUGUGGCGAAUCCUAGUUGGCUUAGCGAUGACACGUCCUUCGCCUUGAUUUGUCCACUUGUCUGCCAAUGUGGCCCGGUCGGCUUCCAUGACAGUGCCUUUGCCUUUCGCUGCUAGGGAAGAAGUUUCACCGUCUCGCGGUCUAUAGUUUGGAUGCUGACAUCCCCUCCUCCUUGACUUGCAGCUUGCCCCCAAGCCAGGAGAUGAGGUGAACAAGAUUGUAAAUCACUGGCAACAUACGAGGUCUUGCUCUCGGCGCCCUGUAGGUGUUUGGCGCCAUCUUGUUUGCAAGAUCUCCACCGGAGUGAGAGCAGCUUGUGGCCACACUGGUAGAGUCAAAGAAGUUGUUGUUCCUGGAGAUAGAGCUUGUCGUAGCCGAGAGACAUGAAAAACUGGCUGAACUUGCGAACCUGGUGGUAGUGUGAGCUCAUAAGCGACCGGGUUGAUAGCUCUCAAUACUUGGAAUGGUCUGAAGUAUUUAAAUGACAGCUUGUGGUUGGCUCUGCGGUGAACUGAAGAUUGUACAUAUGGCUGGAGCUUGAUGUAAACCUCGUCGCCAGGUUGAAAGGAUUGGUCAGUGCAUUUCUUAUCUGCUUGCACCUUCAUGAUGUGGCGAGCUCGAUGUAGGUGCUGCUUAAGGACUUGCUGCAUGGUUCUUAUUUCCUCCAGCCAUUCCUUCAGAGCAAGGCUCUUACAAGUAGAUGCAGUUUCAAUACCCUAGUGCCUGGGCUCAUGGCCAUACUGAGCAUGGAAUGGUGACAUGUCUAAAGCGGAAUGGUAGCUCGAGUUAUACCAAAAUUCAGCCAGUUCCAGGAAUUGACUCCAAUGGUUUGGGUAGGCAUGGAUGAAGCAAUGAACAUAUAUCUCCAAGCAAUUGUUGACACUCUGGUCGUCCGUCUGCUGAUGAUACGGUGUGAUCAUAUUCAGUUCUGUCCCAAUGAUCUUGAACAAUUCCUGCCAGAAUCUGUUGGUAAACACUGGAUCUCGACUUGAGAUAAUUGCCUUAGGGAGUCCGUGCAGCUUGUAAACAUUAUCCAAUAAGCUCGAGCGACCUUAGCUGCCGUGAAAGGAUGAUUCAGUGGCAGAAAAUGAGCAUACCGUGUGAACUUAUCCACAACGACGAGGAUGCAAUUGGCCCUAUUGGAUUGUGAGAGGCCAUCAACUUCUUUGAAAGUUGGAAACUACUCAUGAGUACGAACUGGCCUAACAAGUCCAAUCCUUUCGUCCAAAGCAAACAUGUCCAUUUUGUCGGUCUCUAUGUUGUGUGUUUGAAACUUAGCACCAGUUGCCUGGCAGGGGACGUUAAAACUCCAAAGAACUCUCAAGUAGCAUCGACACGACAAAUUUAGCUAAAGGACGCAAAUUUUCCUCCUGCAUGCAGUUUAAUGCUAGACAAGUGGUUCUUCUCUUCAUUGUACUAAAAAAUUUAACAUUAAAAUUUUCUAAAUAUUUAUACCAAACUUUUUUACUUUGUCAUAAAUCAUUUUACUAUCAAAUGCAUAUUGUUUUUAGCGAAAUAGACUUUAAUAUACUAUUGUAGAUACUAACUUGAGGUAUAGAGUGAAAGUACAACAAUGAUUUCAAUAACUUAUUAAAUAUUCUUAUUUACUAGCAGAUGCUUCAACAACUAGCAUAGAUACUAAUUUGUUGGUCUACUUUGCAGGUGAUCGGCCAAACAUAAUUGGUUGUUUCUUGUUGUAAGUGAAUGCAACAAAAUGAUCCUUCAUUUCUAAAUUUAUAAUUACAAAUGCCUUUUCUAGUGCUAAAAUGAAACUAUAUAUUGUCAAAAAAAAUAUUAAAAUUAAGAUUUUUUUAAAAACAUUUUUGUAUGAUGUAUUUCACUAUAAAUAUAGGCAAACAUAUAUUAUCACAUUACUCCACAAAUUAAUGCAUGCCCCUUUAUUUAUAGUUUUUAUACUCUUUUUCUCCACAAUAUCUAUAAAUAUCUACACUACUUGGUAGAGUAUUUUGGAGUGUAUGAAUUUAGCAAAACAUGCAUUGGGUUUGUAGAGUGCACGAUUGUGAUUUUAUCUUUUUAAUAGCUAAUUCAAAAUUGUAUGAAGUGUCAUCAGUAGUUUGUCCUAAAAUCCCAUUAUUUCCUCUCGCUUGUUGGUUAUGCUUGAUGCCAAGUUGUAAGGAAACCUAAGGUCCUAAGACCUAGUUCGGUUGCAUCGUAUUUUUAUGACCAUGCUAAUGUGAAACCUCGGCAUUCGAAUGGCCGACCAAUGGAUACUCUAGUUUAUAAGAAAACAUAAUUCUCUAAGUUUGUUUUAGGAAAAAAAGGAUCCAAACCUCAUUUUAAAAUAUUAUGAAAUAAUAAACUAUUGGAGAUACCACCGUUUAUAAAACUGUGAUAUUUGUGAUGCCAAACACAUCAAAGUUUUUAAAGCUACGGUUUCUAAAAACAACCACGGUAUUAAUAAAAAAACACUAAAAAAUACUUAUCUGCCAAACAUAACAUAAGUGGAUUUUGGUGUAAAUGACGAAUGCUUAGGGGACAAAGGACGUUUAGAAGUCGUAUGAAUAUGUAUUGGUCCCAUGGUUGAAAAGAAAAGAUGGCCGGGGACCUCCCAAGCAAAAAAAAAUCAUAUGUUUUGAUCUGUGCAUUUCAUCUUAUGUUGAAUGGUAGGAAAGCCGGACUAUCAAAAGGGGUAUACGUGAUGAACUUCAGUGUGGCAGACAAUCAAUUUUAAGAUCAUACACUAAGAUCUUGUCCGCGGGAGAAAACCACAAGCGAUAGCUAAGUGUGAAGCCUCUAGAUUUACCUAGUUUUGCUCUACGUGAGGCCCAGAAAUCCGAAGGAUAUUCCGGAUGCUUCAAGGAGCUACCGGAUUCGCUCAGAGGCUCGAAUGGAUUCUUGCAUGGCGGUUCGGAGGUUCCGGACCAGCUCGCAUAUAAAGCUUGACAAUUGAAUUUUGAUGGGGCCUAUAAAAAGCUCACUCCCUUCUUCCCCGGAGGAUCACAGGUCUAAACAGCAAGAACACUCACUCUUCCACCAGCCUUGACUUUCGAAAGCUGAAGAAGCCCCCCUAUGGCUCUAAAGCCUUCGUGACUUUGAUUUGACCAUGUUUAUUAAAAUUCUGUGAACUAAACAUCAAAGUUAACAGAAUCCAUGUGUUUACCAAUUCUAUGUUUUGUACAUGCAUUCCUAGAGUAUUGAGAAUUACCAAAGUGCUAUUGCCACGCAUGGGUGAGUGUUCGAUCAUGCCGAACUUGUAAACAGAAGUUUCUAUGAUAAUGAUAUUUUUAGUUGAGAACCACCUCUUGGUAGGGUAACUACAAAGAAGAUGUACUCUCAUGGUGGUUGUUCCUCUCCUCCUGUAUUCUAGUGCUGUAAUCUCCCUCCCCUUACCUUGUCUCUGCCUUUGUCACAUUUCGACUAUUGCAGCCUUUUCAGNNNNNNNNNNNNNNNNNNNNNNNNNNNNNNNNNNNNNNNNNNNNNNNNNNNNNNNNNNNNNNNNNNNNNNNNNNNNNNNNNNNNNNNNNNNNNNNNNNNNNNNNNNNNNNNNNNNNNNNNNNNNNNNNNNNNNNNNNNNNNNNNNNNNNNNNNNNNNNNNNNNNNNNNNNNNNNNNNNNNNNNNNNNNNNNNNNNNNNNNNNNNNNNNNNNNNNNNNNNNNNNNNNNNNNNNNNNNNNNNNNNNNNNNNNNNNNNNNNNNNNNNNNNNNNNNNNNNNNNNNNNAUUCUCAAAAAAAAACUAUUGCAUUGUGGCUCAAAUUUACAUGAGCGUGCAUUAUCGGCUUUAACAUAGGAAUUCAGUGAGAUUCGUGAACUUAUCCACAGUCCAUGUCUGUCUAGCUAUGGUUCGGUGGUGCACUCGUGACCGUGAGGGUGUAUUGUUUAUGUGUAUCUUCGAUGUAACACACACAAAAAAAGGAUUACCACAUGUUCUUUUUGAUACAACAUCAUGCAUGCAAGUUUGUGUUCUUUAAAUGAUGGGUUCUGCAUAUAAGGAUUGUUCAUCCGUCGACAUGUGCAUCAAAUACAAAUGUGUUGCGAUAGUCGACAAAGAAUAUCCUCGACCGUUGUGAAUCCUGGCACUUGUCCAGAACACAAUGGAAUACUGGUUGGUUUUGCGACUUUGACAAGAAGGAAAAUGUAGGAAUGGAGAGAGUUAUGAUACUCAAGUCGGAUGGAUCCUACGGUGGCACGCCGGUUUUCCUAGAUUACAAGUGUUCGACGUCUAGGUUACAAUGAAGUACGGUGUUCUCUGAAAGUGCCGCUAGCUAUAUGCAUUUGCACUUGCACUACUAGUAGCUAAUAGUUUUGAUUCCGCAAACAAAAAAUAAUGGAGUAUUAGCUAAUAGUUUUUGGCGUGAUUCUUUGGAGUAAUAUAGUUUUGGCGCGAGAUACCAAAAGUUCAAGAGGAAGAGACGGGAGCGAGAAAGGACGGACGGUUCCAAAAAUGUGCGGACCGGAUAAACCUGCCGUGGUUCUUCACGCGGCCGCGCGACGCGCUUGAUCGAGGGAAAAAAAUUAUAUGAGACCAGAUCUCAUAUAAAUCAGGUAAGACCCGCCUUGAUGGAUGACAUGUGGCAUUCACAAAUCACAAAGUAUCUAAUCUCUCCCCCCCUGAUUUCAGGUGGGGGUGGGGUGGAUGCUUUGUGAUUUACGUCGACCUGGUCUCAUAGAAUUUUUUUCCCUUGAUCGAGGGUCCCUGAUACGACCCGACGCAGACAGCUAGCACAUCGAUUCAGAGGCGUGGGGACAGCUAGUUAGCCCGACUUCAUAGACUGCACGUUGAAAACCGAAACAUACUCCUGCUAAGAUCAGGGUUCGGACAUCACAGCGAGGGGACCGAGUAGCUCCUGCACGUCGAAAAUGGGAACAUAUGAGUAGAUCAGGAUUCAGAGAUCAGAGUCAGGGGACGGGCCAGCUAACCCACCAGGCCACCAGCAGUUAAGUUGGCAACGGUGGCCGCGGUUGGAACGCUGGAGAUCCAUCCUGGCCACGGCACAUGACAUUUGACACGCAUGACACGGUAGUGUGCAAGUCGCGUCGGUCGAUCAGAUUAGCACGAUCGAGAGUGAACGCGACGACGACUACGAAGAUCGCAAUAGCACGAGAGUGACCCAUGAUACUGCUCGCAACCUGACCACAAUUAUGACGAGUCAAACUUCCAGCGCGUUGCAAGUCCCGGCCGGCUCCGUCUCCGUGGGUGGCUCACAUCCAAGCGACGGCGGCUUAGGUCGUCGCUGUCGUCCUUCACAGGGUCUUCUCCACAAUGCAUUUCCUUUUUCCAUAGGGAACCCCUUGUCCUUUCAUAGUUCUGCAGUCGUGUACAACAGGAGCACACAGACAGCGAGGACUCUGGAGUGAAUUUGAGCACCAAGAUUUCAUCUGAACGUAAUUACCUCUACGCGGUUUCUACUAGCUUUAGCUACCCAGAUCAAGAAGCAACCCAGCUGAUAGGUUUUACUUUCUCUUCCACAUACGUAGAGUACGUGCUCAGCAAGUUGGAGGUGCUGGCUACCAUCGGCUGGCCGGAGGUACCGGAUGCCAUGGGGUCCCCUUGUCUGGAUCUGAAAUUGCCGGACCUGACGGCGCGACCCCCUCCUCUCCCGAUAGCGCUAGUUGGCAGCUGGAUGAUGGUGUGGGCUGGCCGCCGGGGCAGGGGCCGUGGGCUGGUUACUCUUAUGCGCUUGUCUCGACCUUCUCUGUCCAGGUCGAGGUGGAGGCUCGUGCCUUGGUUGGGAGGCGGCUUCGUGUUUUGGCAUUGGUGUUGAGUUGUCGAAGGAUGCCGGGGCGGUGGCCCCGGAUGGCAGGUGUCCCACGGUGGGCUUUCUAGCAGGCCUCGUGGUGACUCUCACUGUGGGGGUGGCAGUGGCUCUUCGUGGUGGUAUUGGUGAGUUCCCGAGCCAAAGCUUCGCGAUUGGCGCCAGUGACGGCGGCUCCCGUGGGUGUCGUUUCCUUUUUGAAAGAGUAGUCGUGGGGUCUUGCUCAUGUGCUAGGGCUCCGGGUGAAAAUCCUUCUCUAUUCUCAGACACGGCAGCGGAGAUGCUUUGCGUUGUCACCCUCUUGGGGUGUUGCCGUGGAGUUUUGGUGUCGUCGGUUGGUCCUAAGCGAGGUGUUAGGCUAGCUCUAAGUUCCUUGUUGUAUCUUUUGAUCUGCUUUGUAAGAGAGUCUUCUCUUCAUAUUGUAUCGUUCGACUGUGUAUUAUUAAACGUUGUUGCUUUAUAUAUAAAGCGCUGCGAAUGCCUGUUUCAAAAAAAAGCAACCCAGCUGGUAGGUUUUACUUUGUCUUGUCCACAAACGUAGAGUACGUACUCAGCAAGCGGGAGUAUAUUUUGUUGGUUCUUGGGGCGCACGAAAUAAAUUAAUCAUACAGAAAAAUUGGACGUAUAUACGUCAAAGGUACACAUGUGGAUGUAUACAUGUGAGAGAGGAUGGGAUGGGAUGCCAUUGGGUGGAGUGGACAGUCGUCAAACUUGACAGCUAGGCCACGCCCAUGUUAGCAUAUCAGACCAGAUCACAACCUGGCCUGGUCAAAUGCUUAAUUAAUUUACUACACUCCCACUAAGGCGCCAUUAUCCGUCCAUUAGUUGUUGGAGUGCAUACUACAUAGCAGUAUUUUCUUCGUUCCUAAAUACAAGUCUUUUUAAAGAUUUUAAUAUAAACUAUAUAUGAAGCAAAAUGAGUGAAUCUACACUCUAAACUACGUUAAUAUAUAUCCGUCCAUUAGUUGUUGGAGUGCAUACUACAUAGCAGUAUUUCCUUCGUUCCUAAAUACAAGUCUUUUUAAAGAUUUUAAUAUAAACUAUAUAUGAAGCAAAAUGAGUGAAUCUACACUCUAAACUACGUUAAUAUAUAGCUCAUUUGUGUGCAGUCCAUAUUGAAUGGAGGGAGUAGUAUGAUUUGGUUGGAAGAAAAUGCAGCAGAUCAUCAUAUGUCUGUCUUACAGAAGGUUGAAUUUUUAGCAGGGAAGAACAUGGUCCGUGUCAUCCCAUGUUUUCUCUAAGGAGAAAGGAGAAAUGUAUACUUAAUUAACAAACAGUCCCCAUGAGUAAAUAAGUCCAGUGUCGACGAGCUUAAAUUACCAAACAAUUCAUAUGUCAGAAUCGAUCCAUUUUCUUGAGGUCGAUUUGACGGUGAUCCUCUCAUCAUGUGAUUUCAGCACGUAAACAAAAAAAAUACGUGUUCCAGAGUAAUAACAUCUAGCAUUGAGCACAGAUGUACGUAUGUUGUGGACGAACAGCCACGGAAUGGAAUUUCAUACUGCACAUCAUAUUCAAAGAAACCAAAUGCUAUUCUGCUCCAACACAAAUUUGGUGUUAAAAUGGAAUCGAUCACUUCUUUUUCUCCUUAGAAGAAUCGGAUGGAGCUAUCGAGCUAGCUAUACGUCUACAGUAGCUUCACAUAUCUUGGGCACAUCAAGCAACCACGCAUGUGUGGCUUCCCUGUUUAGCUGUUCUGCUUUGUUUCUGCAAGCUAGCAUCAGGUGCCAAACACACAGGGAGUUCAGACUUCAAAGAACUCUCAAGUAGCACGAACAGCGACGGCCUAACAUUGUGAUUGGCAAGUGGGGCCACAAACGGCGGGCAGUAUAUCUAUGCUCAUGAUAAUAUUUUGCUUACCGAAUCAUGUACGUAUGUAGUCAUGGAAAAUUCAAACAGGCGGGAGACUGAAGCGAAAGUUGAUCAUCAUCUUCUAUCACCGAAGUAAAAUAAGUAUGGCUGACAUCUAAACCUUUGAACUACGACAAAAAUACUUCCUGGCAAGAAAUAUUUUUGUUUUGUCUUGAGAGACAUCAAGUACUAUUAUUCAGCUUGGCCUCCCGGGCAAAGAAAGUUAGAAGUCUCAAGUCUAAGUCGUCGUGUGAGACAGAGCUCGCGGUCUUCUCCGCCUCCAUGUGGGUGAUGUCUCCUGGUGCACACACAUUCGUUCUAGUCAAGUUUUGCAGGUCGUCGAUAGAGGCCUAGUGAUGUAUCCAUUCAAAUCUUGUCGGUCUGUAUUCAGACUGCAUUGAUCCCAAGAGCUUACGGCAUCUACAACUGAAUUUUGGCCUCUCAAACGUUUGCGGACGCGUCCAGUCAAUGUCUCAAUGUGUCCAUUUCAGCCCCUUCAGUAGCUACACAUGGCGCCCUAGCUAGCUUCACGCAUCUUGGUUUGAGGAGAAGUGCUCUCAAGAAUUUUCGGUCGGCUCACGUAGCCAUCCGGAGAUAUUCCUUCCCGACCUAACAAGUCCAACGAUUUCUUCCAAUGCAACCAGUACGCACGCGCUUUCCCGUUUGUCUUUCCUCUGCGUGGGCUUCCCUGUGCACUUGUUCCGUUCUGUUUCUGCAAGCCAGCAUCAGGUGCGAGACACACAAGGAGUUCAGACUUCAGAGAACUCUCAACAAGCAACAACAUGAACAGCGACAGCCCAGUUGGCAGCGCUGGCAAGUGGGCUAUUCAAAUAAGCUAGUGAUCGCAGCACAGAGGUGAUCAUCAUCGGCUACUAUUACUGAAGGAAAGAUGAGCAUGGCAUCUAACCUUUCAACAGCGACAGUCGACAGAGAAAAGUUACCUGGCACUGAGUAGUGAAUAGUCAGUACUACUAGUAGCUGAUGAUGAUGUAUCUCCUUCGGGACCAAGAAAGUUAUAUGAAGUCUCAAGUCCAAGUCGUCGUCGUCGUGUCCGGCUAAGCUCGCAGUUUUCUCCACCUCCAUGUGGGCGAUGUCUUCAGCACCGCUGCACACAAGUCCGUUCUAGUCGAGCUCUGCGGGUCGUAGAUAGGAGCCUGAUGGAGUGAUGGAUCCAUUCAAACGUUUCCGGUCUGUGUUCAAACAGCGUUGAUCCCAAGAGCUUACAACCACAUGACCAAGCGGCGGGCCACGGAGGGAAAACGAUUAUUAGGGCCUUUUUUGAAUGCGCGGUGUGUACGAACACAUGGAAAUGGAAAAAGAGAAAAAACACCCGUAUAAAUAGAAUGUUGGCGCAUGUUUAAUUCGACAGAAAUUGAGAACACUGGAAUGUCAUGUGUAGUAGAUGUCAUUUGUUGCAUCAGAAGAACACGGAAAAAAAUUAUGUAACAUUAGAUUGAUGACAUACUUGUCAUUGGAACAAACAAAACAGAUCCACGAUGUUAUUGUCUCGAUGGAAAUUUUAUUUUAGAAUUGCAUGUAAGUAGUCUUAGACGGAAUUUCUAUAGUUUUCAGUCCUACAAAUCAAAGAAGAUAUCCCUCAAAGAGGCCCUAGCUUUGCCAAACUGUAUAGAUCUCUUUCACAUGCCUGACUACUCAAGCCAUUCAGCAGUUCCAAGAGCUCAGCACUGCUUUGCAUCAAAUUCUAACANNNNNNNNNNNNNNNNNNNNNNNNNNNNNNNNNNNNNNNNNNNNNNNNNNNNNNNNNNNNNNNNNNNNNNNNNNNNNNNNNNNNNNNNNNNNNNNNNNNNNNNNNNNNNNNNNNNNNNNNNNNNNNNNNNNNNNNNNNNNNNNNNNNNNNNNNNNNNNNNNNNNNNNNNNNNNNNNNNNNNNNNNNNNNNNNNNNNNNNNNNNNNNNNNNNNNNNNNNNNNNNNNNNNNNNNNNNNNNNNNNNNNNNNNNNNNNNNNNNNNNNNNNNNNNNNNNNNNNNNNNNNNNNNNNNNNNNNNNNNNNNNNNNNNNNNNNNNNNNNNNNNNNNNNNNNNNNNNGGUGUCGCCGGCCGAAGCAAAAGUGGCGUUGGUCCGCUCUGUCGGCGAGAGGAGGCACUUUUCCUGCCAUUUCCUCCCGCUUUCCCCCUCGGCUUCCCUCUCAUUCUCCAUUCCUCCCGCCAAACUCCGCCUCCUCCCUUCCAAGCUGCCCGCCAUGCCGUCGAAGAAGUACGUGAUGCUCCGCGCCGCGACGGAUCCCACAACCACUGUCGUCGCCCAGCCGAAGCAAAGGAAGCCGAGGGCGCCACCGUCCAAGCCCCCGGGCAUGACCAACGCUGACCGGAAGGUGGAUGUGCAGCGCCGGGAGGCCGUCACCGCCGAUAGACGCAACAGGGCCAACAAGGCCAGGGAGAGGGCGGCGCACGCGGCUGCCGCAGCGGCAGCGACGGAGCUGGUGGAGCGCGCGGCCGAACAAGCGGAGGUGGCUCGCGCGGCGAUGAUGAAUCCACCCCGUGGGCACGACCCGCACGCCUCGAGCCAGCAAAGUGUCGGCUCUCCGGCCGGGUUCUCGUCGUCGCCACACCCAUGGAGCACGCUGUCGCCGGGCUAUGCCGAUGGCGACGUCCACGGUGGUUUCAACCCCAACAUCACCUUUCCCCAUGGGCCCCGGUCCAGCGCACGCCAUCGCCCGCGUUUGCCGGCGUGCAGUACCCUCCGUACACGUACUCGCCGCCGGACUACGCAGCUUCACCGAUGCUACCUCUCCGCCGCGGCCUUUACUCGCAAGCGUCGUCCUCGUCGCAUCUUGUCGACGCCGACGCGAUGGAAGCCGACAUGGAAGACAUCAUCGCAGCCGGCUCGGCAGCUGCCGCCGCUUCCCCCGGGUUUACUACCCAAGACGGCUCGAUUGAUCUCGGCGACAUGGACGCCGAACUCGACUAUGGCGAGGAAGAGCCGGAUGAGGAGGAGGAGGAGGAGGAGGAGGAGGAGGAGGAGCCGGCGCCGACGAGGAAAGGCAAGAAGAAGAAGAAGAAGAAGAAGAAGAAGAAGAAGAAGAAGAAAGGGGCGGCCAAGACCGGCGAGCCGCGCAUCAAGUGGGCGACCAAGGAAGAUGAGUGCCUCGCCGAAGCGUGGAAGGUCGUCUGCCUCGACCCGAUCACCGGCACGAACCAGAGCUUCGACACGUAUUGGUACCGCAUCAAGGCCGAGUUCAACGAGCGCAAGCUCGUCGACCCCUACUUCAAAGUCAUCCACAUGCAGCGGGGGUCGAAGGCGAUGGCGAACCACUUGGGGCUUGAUACGUCCAUUUUUGCAUCAUGCUUUUAUAUUGAUAUUUAUUGCAUUAUGGGAUGUUAUUACACAUUAUGUCACAAUACUUAUGGCUAUUCUCUCUUAUUUUACAAGGUUUAUCAUGAAGAGGGAGAAUGCCGGCAGCUGGGAUUCUGGCUGGAAAAGGAGCAAAUAUUGGAAACCUAUUCUGCAUAGCUCCAAAAGACCUGCAACUCCACGAAAGUCAUUUUUGGAUUUAAUAAGAAUUAUUGGGCAAAGAAAGUACCUGAGGGGGCCCACACCCUGGCCAGGAGGGUGGGGGGCGCCCCCCUCCCUACUGGGUGCGCCCCCCUGUCUCCUGGGCCCCCUGGUGGCCCUCCGGUACCCAUCUUCUGCUAUAUGAGCUCUUUUACCCUGAAAAAAAUCAUAAGCACGCUCACGAGACGAAACUCCACCGCCACGAGGCGGAACCUUGGCGGAACCAAUCUAGGGCUCCGGCGGAGCUGUUCUAUCGGGGAAACUUCCCUCCGGGAGGGGGAAAUCAUCACCAUCGUCAUCACCAACGAUCAUCUCAUCGGGAGGGCGUCAAUCUCCAUCAACAUCUUCACCAGCACCAUCUCCUCUCAAACCCUAGUUCAUCUCUUGUAUCCAAUCUUGUAUCCAAAACCACAAAUUGGUACCUGUGGGUUGCUAAUAGUGUUGAUUACUCCUUGUAGUUGAUGCUAAUUGGUUUACUUGGUGGAAGAUCAUAUGUUCAGAUCCUUUAUGCAUAUUAAUACCCCUCUGAUUAUGAACAUGAAUAUGCUUUGUGAGUAGUUCCGUUUGUUCCUGAGGACAUGGGUGAAGUCUUACUAUUAGUAGUCAUGUGAAUUUGGUAUUCGUUCGAUAUUUUGAUGAGAUGUAUGUUGUCUCUCCUCUAGUGGUGUUAUGUUAACGUCGACUACAUGACACUUAACCAUUAUUUGGGCCUAGAGGAAGGCAUUGGAAAGUAAUAAGUAGAUGAUGGGUUGCUAGAGUGAAAGAAGCUUAAACCCUAGUUUAUGCGUUGCUUCGUAAGGGGCUGAUUUGGAUCCAUUAGUUUCAUGCUAUGGUUAGGUUUACCUUAAUACUUAUUUUGUAGUUGAGGAUGCUUGCAAUAGGGGUUAAUCAUAAGUGGGAUGCUUGUCCAAGAAAGGUCAGUACCCAAGCACCGGUCCACCCACAUAUCAAAUUAUCAAAGUAACAAACGUGAAUCAUAUGAGCGUGAUGAAACUAGCUUGACGAUAAUUCCCAUGUGUCCUCGGGAGCACUUUUCUCAUUAUAAGAAAUUGUCCAGGCUUGUCCUUUGGUACAAAAAGGAUUGGGCCACCUUGCUGCACCUUAUUUACUUUCAUUGCUUGUCACCCGUUACAAAUUAUCUUAUCACAAAACUAUCUAUUACCUACAAUUUCAGUGCUUGCAGAGAAUACCUUACUGAAAACCGCUUGGCAUUUCCUUCUGCUCCUCGUUGGGUUCGACACUCUUACUUACCGAAAGGACUAUGAUAGAUCCCCUAUACUUGUGGGUCAUCAAGACUCUUUUCUGGCGCCGUUGUCGGGGAGUGAAGCGCCUUGGUGAGUGGAACUUGGUAAGGAAACAUUUAUAUAGUGUGCUGAAAUUUUCUGUCACUUGUUACUAUGGAAACUAAUCCUUUGAGGGCUUGUUCGUGGCAUCUUCGCCCCGACUAGUAGAGCAAAGAGUUGCUCCUCAACCUACUGAACCUACUGAAAAUGUUCACGUUGAAAUUCCUUCGGUUAUGAUAGAGAAACUACUAGCUAAUCCCUUUGCAGGAGAUGGAACAUUGCAUCCCGGUUUACACCUUAUCUUUGUGGAUGAAGUUUGUGGAUUAUUUAAGCUUGCAGGUAUUCCCGAUGAUGUUGUCAAGAGGAAGGUCUUUCCUCUAUCUUUGAGUGGAGACGCAUUGACAUGGUAUAGGCUAUGUGAUGAUACGGGAUCUUGGAAUUAUAAACGAUUGAAGUUGGAAUUUCACCAGAAGUUCUAUCCUAUGCAUCUUGUUCAUCGUGAUCAUAAUUACAUAUAUAACUUCUGGCCUCGCGAAGGAGAAAGCAUCGCUCAAUCUUGGGGGAGGCUUAAGUCAAUGUUAUAUUCAUGCCCCAAUCAUGAGCUCUCAAGAGAAAUGAUUAUUCAAAAAAAUUAUGCUCGGCUUUCUCUCAAUGAUCGCACCAUGCUCGAUACUUUCUGUGCUGGUUCUUAUAUGUUGAAGACUACUGAAUUCAAGUGGGAUUUAUUGGAAAGAAUUAAAUGCAACUCUGAAGAUUUGGGUUCCGACGAUAGUAAGGAGUCAGGUAUGGCACCUAAGUUUGAUUGUGUUAAAUCUUUUAUGGAUACCGAUGCUUUUCGUGGAUUUAGCGCUAAAUAUGGACUUGACUCUGAGAUAGUAGCUUCUUUCUAUGAAUCUUUUUCUACGCACGUUGAUCUCCCUAAGGAGAAGUGGUUUAAAUAUAAUCCUCCCAUUGAAGUAAAAGUAGUUGCACCUAUUACAUUUGAAGAAAAGACUAUCACUUAUAAUGAUCCUAUUGUUCCUACUACUUAUGUUGAGAAACCACCUUUUCCUGUUAGAAUAAAGGAUCAUGCCAAAGCUUCAACUAUUGUGCGUAAGAGUAAUACUAGAACUUACACACCUCCUGAGCAAAUUAAAGUUGAACCUAGUAUUGCUAUGGUUAAAGAUCUCUUGGAUGAUAAUAUAGAUGGGCAUGUUAUUUAUUUCUGUGGUGAAACUACUAAUAUUGCUAAACCAGAUGCUAGGAUACAUAGACCUGUUGUAGGCAUGCCUGUUAUUUCUGUUAAAAUAGGAGAUUGUUGUUAUCAUGGCUUAUGUGAUAUGGGUGCUAGUGCUAGUGCAAUACCUUUUUCCUUAUAUAAUAAAAUUAUGCAUGAUAUUGCACCUGCUGAGUUAGAAGAAAUAGAUGUUACAAUUAAGCUUGCCAAUACAGAUACUAUUUCACCAGUUGGGAUUGUUAGAGAUGUUGAAGUCUUGUGUGGGAAAGUUAAAUACCCUACUGAUUUCCUUGUUCCGGGUUCCCCAUGAUAACCCACAAGUAUAGGGGAUCGCAAUAGUUUUCGAGGGUAGAGUAUUCAACCCAAAUUUGUUGAUUCGACACAAGGGGAGCCAAAGAAUAUUCUCAAGUAUUAGCAGCUGAGUUGUCAAUUCAACCACACCUGGAAAUUUAGUAUCUGCAGCAAGGUGUUUAGUAGCAAAGUAAUAUGAUAGUGGUGGUAAUGGUAACAAAAGUAAAGACGGCAAAAGUAAUGUUUUUGGUAUUUUGUAGUGAUUGUAACGGUAAUAACGGAAAAGUAAAUAAGCGAGAACCAGUAUAUGGAAAACUCGUAGGCACCGGAUCAGUGAUGAAUAAUUAUGUCGGAUGUGGUUCAUCAUGUAACAGUCAUAACAUAGGAUGACACAGAACUAGCUCCAGUUCAUCAAUGUAAUGUAGGCAUGUGUUCCGAAUAUAGUCAUACGUUCUUAUGGAAAAGAACUUGCAUGACAUGUUUUGUCCUACCCUCCCGUGGCAGUGGGGUCCUAUUGGAAACUAAGGGAUAUUAAGGCCUCCUUUUAAUAGAGAAUCGGAACAAAGCAUUAGCACAUAGUGAAUACAUGAACUCCUCAAACUAUGAUCAUCAUCGGGAGUGGUUCUGAUUAUUGUCACUUCGGGGUUGCCGGAUCAUAACACAUAGUAGGUGACUAUAGACUUGCAAGAUAGGAUCAAGAACUCACAUAUAUUCAUGAAAACAUAAUAGGUUCAGAUCUGAAAUCAUGGCACUCGGGCCCUAGUGACAAGCAUUAAGCAUAGCAAAGUCAUAGCAACAUCAAUCUCAAAACAUAAUGGAUACUAGGGAUCAAACCCUAACAAAACUAACUCGAUUACAUGAUAAAUCUCAUCCAACCCAUCACCGUCCAGCAAGCCUACGAUGGAAUUACUCACACACGGCGGUGAGCAUCAUGAAAUUGGUGAUGGAGGAUGGUUGAUGAUGAUGACGUCAACGAAUCCCCCUCUCUGGAGCCCCGAACGGACUCCGGAUCAGCCCUCCCGAGAGAGAUUAGGGCUUGGCGGCGGCUCUGUAUCGUAAAACGCGAUGAUUUCUUCUCUCUGAUUCUUUUCUCCCCGAAGGCCAAUAUAUGGAGUUGGAGUUGGCGUCGGAGGGCCACCAGGGGGCCCACGAGGUAGGCGGGCGCGCCCAGGGGGGCUUCCCCACCCUCAUGGACAGGGUGUGGGCCCCCUGGUCUUCUUCUUUGGCGAGGAUUUUUUAUUAAUUAUCCUAAGACAUUCCGUGGAGUUUCAGGUCGUUCCGAGAACUUUUAUUUUCUGCACAAAAACAACACCAUGGCAAUUCUGCUGAAAACAGCGUCAGUCUGGGUUAGUUCCAUUCAAAUCACACAAGUUAGAGUCCAAAACAAGGGCAAAAGUGUUUGGAAAAGUAGAUACGACAGAGAUGUAUCAACUCCCCCAAGCUUAAACCCUUGCUUGUCCUCAAGCAAUUUAGUUGACAAACUGAAAGAGAAAAAGAAAAACUUUUACAAACUCUAUUUGCUCUUGUUGUAAACAUGAAAAGCCAGCAUUCAAGUUUCAGCAAAUAUUAUGAACUAACCAUACGCACAAUAACACAAAGGUCUCACAAUUACUCAUAUCAAUAGCAUAAUCAGCUAGCGAGCUAUAAUAACAAAACUCAGAUGACAACACUUUCUCAAAAUAAUCAUAACAUUAUAUAACGGAAUGGUAUCUUGCUAGCCCUUUCUGAGACCGCAAAACAUAAAUGUAGAGCACCUUCAAAGAUCAAGGACUGACUAAAUAUUAUAAUUCAUGGUAAAAGAGAUCCAGUCAAGUCAUACCCAAUAUAAACCAAUAAUAAUGAAUGCAAACGACAGUGUGCUCUCCAGCGGGUGCUUUUUAGUAAGAAGGGUGAUGACUCAACGUAAAAGUAAAUAGAUAGGCCCUUCGCAGAGGGAAGCAAGGAUUUGUAGAGGUGCCAGAGCUCGGUUUUAAAAUGGAGAUUGAAUAACAUUUUGAGCGGCAUACUUUUGCUGUCAACGUAACAACUAUGAGAUGACGAUAUCUUCCAUGCUAAACAAAUUAUAGGCAGUUCCCAAACAGAAUGGUAAAGUUUAUACUCCCCUUCCUCCACAAGCAUCAAUCCAUGGCUUGCUCGAAACAACGAGUGCCUCCAACAUUCAACGGGUCCCACGGGGAGUUUUGUUUGCAAUUAUUUUGAUUUAGUUUGCAUAAAGCAUGGGACUGGGCAUCUCGGUGACCAGCCAUUUUCUCGUGAAUGAGGAGAGGAGUCCACUCCUCUUGAGAAUAACCGCCUAACAUGGAAGAUAAGGAUAGCCCUAGUUGAAACAUGAGCUGCUCGAGCAUACAAAACAAAAUUUUAUUUGAAGGUUUGGAGUUUGGCACAUACAAAUUUACUUGGAACGGCGGGUAAAUACCGCAUAUAGGAAGGUAUAGUGGACUCAUAUGGAACAACUUUGGGGUUUCAGGAGUUUGGAUGCACAAGCAGUAUUCCCACUUAGUACAGGUGAAGGCUAGCAAAAGACUGGGAAGCGACCAACUGAGAGAGCGACAACAGUCGUAAACAUGCAUUAAAUUAAUUUACACCGAAUACAAGCAUGAGUAGGAUAUAAUCCACCAUGAACAUAAAUAUCAUGAAGGCUAUGUUGAUUUGAUUCAACUACAUGCAUGAACAUGUGCCAAGUCUAGUCACUCAAUUCAUUUAAAGGAGGAUACCAUCCCAUCAUACCACAUCAUAAUCAUUCUAAUAGCAUGUUGGCACGCAAGGUAAACCAUUAUAACUCAUAGCUAAUCAAGCAUGGCACAAGCAACUAUAAUCUCUAAAUGUCAAUGUGAAUAUGCUCACUUCAUAAUAGCUAACUCGGGAACGAUGAUCAUCAUAUUUACAAAAACAAGAGAGGUCGAGUUCGUACCAGCUUUUCUCAUCCCAAUAAGUCCAUCAUAUAUCAUCAUUAUUGCAUUUCACUUGCACGACCAAACGAUGUGAAUAAUAAUAAGAGUGCACGUGCAUUGGACUAAGCUGGAAUCUGCAAGCAUUCAAUGACCAGGAGAAGACAAGUAAUAUGGGCUCUAAGUUAAAUAAACAAUCAUGCAUAUAAGAGCCACUUCAACAAUUUAAUCAUGAUCUUCUCCUACUGACCCCCAAAGAAAAGAAAAGGAAAACUAUUUACACGGGAAAGCUCCCAACAAGCAAAAGAAGAACGGGAAAUAUUUUUGGGUUUUCCUUUUUAAUUACUACAGCAAAGAAAUAAAAUACUACUAAUUUUUUGGUUUUGUUAAGGUUUAUAAACACACAAGAAGAAAGCGGGAAAAAGAAAAUAAACUAGCAUGGAUAUUACAGUGAAAGAGUAUGAACGCCGACAUCUAGUAAUGAGUGUGUGUGAACAUAAAUGUAAUGUCGGUGGGAGAUACGUACUCCCCCAAGCUUAGGUUUUUAGCCUAAGUUGGUCUAUUGCCAGGGAUAGCCUGGUGGAUACCCGUAAGUGAAGUUGGGGUCAUACUGUGAUGCAGCGGCUAUAGCCUCCUGAGCCGCAGCGUAGCGUCGGGCUGCCUCAGCUCUUUUCUCGUACUCAUCUGCCUCCUCUCUGGUAAUAAUAUAUCUUCCUUUUAUCUGCGAAUCAAAGAAGACAGGAGCAGGAAGAGCAAUAUGGACUACAUGUCGUUUGUUAAAGAUUAGUCGAUAUUGGAAAGGUGGUUCAGUCCUCUCAACAAACUGGUGGGAAACCAUAGAAUCAAAAUCCAAAUAAGUAGAGGGUAACUCUGUAUCACCCUCUCGAAUGUCUAUUUCAAGAAAAUUAGCUAAGCGGGUUGCAUAAAUUCCUCCAAAGAAAUCUUCGUUAUAUCUGUUAUGAUGCAACCUACGAGCUACGAUGGCUCCCAGAUGAUAAGAUUGGUCUCCUAACACAGCACUUCUGAGAAUGCUGAGAUCAGGGGCACACAAGUGACAUACUUCAUCCUUAGCAUUAAUGCAUCUACCUAUAAAGAGAGCGAAAUAAUGUAUAGCAGGGAAAUGAAUGCUCCCUAAAGUGGCUUGUGUUAUAUCUCUAGAUUCCCCCACAGUUAUUUUAGCAAGAAAGUCUCUAUAUUCAGAUUUAGGGGGAUCCCUGACAUUACCCCAUGAUGGAAGCUUGCAAGCAGAAGUGAAAUCCUCUAAGUCCAUGGUAUAAGAUUUGUCAUAAAGGUCAAACAUGACUGAAGGAGAAUUACGCGAAGAUGAAAACUCAAACCUCCUCACAAAUGAACUUGUGAGAUCAUGAUACUGGGGGCAUUUGUCAUCUUCAAAGUCCUCAAGACCGGCAUUGCGCAAAUAUGCGCUAAAUUCUUCUUUGAUUCCCACUUGAUUCAUAAAAUUUUCCGAAGGCCAUUCACAGGGCCUAACAGGAGCAUCUCUUGGUGGUUCCUCGCAGCAUCACGUAUGGCAAGCCUGGGACCUUGUUUCCUUGAAGGGCCACCUUGGAACAUCCUCCUAAACAUAUCAUUUCCUCUGAAAAACUUCUGAAAUUUUUAGUAACUUCAAAUAAAAGUGAACCAACUUCAAUAAAAUUGAUAGCAACAACUCAUGCAAGUGCCUAGAGCCUAUAUAAAGCAUUGGAACUACUUGGAACCAUAUAAAUUUGACAUGCAAGCACAAGAGCAUGGUCACCUAUGUAGCACAAAUUUGCAAUGAAUAAAGCACUAGAACAAAAACUAAUUGGACCAAUGGAGGAGUCACAUACCAAGGAACAAUCUCCCCAAGCAGUUUUGUGAGAGGUGCUUUGAGCAAGGAGAUCGAAAAUCACAGCAACGGGGGCUGGAACUCGUGCUUGAGUUGGUUUUUCGUGUUUGUGUGAGGCAGACGAAGAAGAUGGGUGCAGGAAUAAGUGGAGGAGGGCCACCGUGGGCCCACGAGGCAGGGGGUAGGGCACGUCCUCCACCCUCGUGGCCAGGUGGCAGCUCCCCCCGCGGUGCUUUUUGCACAGUAAAUUCUUAAAUAUUCCCGAAAAAAUCAUAUUAAAUUGGCAUGGAAUUCUGAGGACUUUUAUUUUCGGGAUAUUUUUAUAUUCCACGGAUAAGUUAGGAAACAGACAGAGAAAUACUAUUUUACUUCAUUUCUACUAAAUAAUAGAAAAUAUAAAGAGGGUACAAAAGGUUGUGCUUCUAGUUUCGUCCAUCUCAUGUUCAUCAAAAAGAAUCCACUAACAAGGCUGAUCAAGUCUUGUUAACGAGUUCAUUCCGAUUAACACAGAACCGGAGAAAUUUCGAAUAGCACUAAGUUACCUCAACGGGGAUAUGAAAAUCCCCAACAAUAAGAAUAUCAUACUUUUUCUUGACAGUAGGGAGAGGAAAUUCAAACCCUCCAAAUAUAAUCGAUGGAAUUUUUCCAAUAGAGUUGAUACUGUGGACCUGAGGUUGUUUCCUCGGAAAGUGUAUUGUGCGCUCAUUGCCAUUAACAUGAAAGUGACAUUGUCUUUGUUGCAAUCAAUAACAGCCCCUGUAGUAUUAAGGAAAGGUCUUCCAAGAAUAAUAGACAUACUAUCAUCCUCGGGAAUAUCAAGAAUAACAAAGUCCAUUAAAAUAGUAACGUUUGCAACCACAACAGGCACAUCCUCACAAAUACCGACAGGUAUAGCAGUUGAUUUAUCAGCCAUUUGCAAAGAUAUUUCAGUAGGUGUCAACUUAUUCAAGUCAAGUCUACGAUAUAAAGAGAGAGGCAUAACACUAACACCGGCUCCAAGAUCACACAAAGUAGUUUUAACAUAAUUUCUCUUAAUGGAGCAUGGUAUAGUAGGUACUCCGGGAUCUCCAAGUUUCUUUGGUAUUCCACCCUUGAAAGUAUAAUUAGCAAGCAUGGUGGAAAUUUCAGCUUCAGGUAUCUUUCUUUUAUUAGAAAUAAUAUCCUUCAUAUACUUAGAAUAAGGAUUUGUUUUGAGAACAUCAGUUAAUCGCAUACGCAAAAAGAUAGGUCUAAUCAUUUCAGCAAAGUGCUCAAAAUCCUCAUCAUCCUUUUUCUUGGAUGGUUUCGGAGGAAAAGGCAUGGGUUUUUGAACCCAUGGUUCCCUUUCUUUACCAUGUUUCCUAACAACGAAGUCUCUUUUAUCAUAACGUUGAUUCCUUGAUUGUGGGUUAUCAAGAUCAACAGCGGGUUCAGCUUCUACAUCAUUAUCAUUACUAGGUUGAGUAUCAACAUGAACAUUAUCAUUAACAUUAUCACUAGGUUCAUGUUCAUCUCAUCUGAUUGUGUUUCAGCAUCAGAAAUAGAAAUAUCAUUUGGAUUCUCAGGUGGUUCAGCAAUAGGUUCACUAGAAGUUUGCAACGUCCUAUCAUUUUUCUUUUUCUUCUUUCUAGAAGAACUAGGCACAUCAAUAUCAUUUCUCUAAGAAUCUUGCUCGAUUCUCUCAGGGUGGCCUUCAGGAUACAAAGGUUCCUGAGUCAUUCUACCGGUUCUAGUAGCCACUCUAACAGCAUAAUCAUUUUUCUUACUAUUCAUUUCAUAAAGCACUUCUUUUUGAGCUUUAAGUACUUGUUCUACUAGAGUGGUAACCAUAGAAGCAUGUUUGCUAACAAUUUUAAGUUCACCUCUAAUAUCGGUCAUAUAAUCACCCAAGCGUUUAAUCAUAUAAGCAUCUUGUUUUUAAUUGUCUACCAAAGUAAGCAUUAAAAUCAUCUUGCUUAAACAUAAAGUUAUCAAACUCAUCCAAGCACUGACUAGCAAUUCUAGUAGGAGGGACUUCAGCUUUAUCAUAUCUAUAGAGAGAAUUUACCUUUACUACCUGUGUCGGGAUAUCGGGAGGUUCUUCAGUAAAUAAGUAAUUGAGAUCAUAUACUUCUUCAACAGGCGGUAAAUUAAGACCGUGUAUUUCUUCAAUAGGAGGUAAAUUCUUAACAUCUUCAACUUUAAUACCUUUUUCUUUCAUAGAUUUCUUUGCCUCUUGCAUAUCUUCGGGACUGAGAAAUAGAACACCUCUCUUCUUCGGAGUUGGUUUAGGAAUAGGCUCAAUAAUUGGCUCAGAAAUUGGCUCAGGAGCUGGCUCAGGAGGUGCCCAAUUAUUUUCAUUUGUCAACAUAUUUUUCAAUAGAAUUUUAGCUUCAUCCGGUGUUCUUUCCCUGAAAAGAGAACCAGCACAACUAUCCAGGUAAUCUCUGGAAGCAUCGGUUAGUCCAUUAUCAAAGAUAUCAAGUAUUUCAGGUUUCUUAAGAGGAUGAUCAGGCAAAGCAUUAAGUAACUUGAGAAGCCUCCCCCAAGCUUGUGGGAGACUCUCUUCUUCAAUUUGCACGAAGUUAUAUAUUUCCCUCAAGGCUGCUUGUUUCUUAUGAGCAGGGAAAUAUUUAGCAAAAAAGUAAUAAAUCAUAUCCUGGGGACUUUGCACACAACCAGGAUCAAGAGAAUUAAACCAUAUCUUAGCAUCACCCUUUAAUGAGAACGGAAAUAUUUUGAGUAAAUAAAGGUAGCUCGAUCUCUCAUUAUUAGUAAACAGGGCAGUUAUAUCAUUCAACUUAGUAAGAUGUGCCACAACAGUUUCAGAUUCAUAGCCAUAGAAAGGAUCAGAUUCAACCAAAGUAAUUAUAUCUGGAUCAACAGAAAAAUCAUAAUAAUCCUUAUCAGGAACACAAUUAGGUGAAGUAGCAAAAGCAGGGUCAGGUCUCAUUCUAUCUCUAAAAGAUUGUUUACUCCAUUUAACUAGCAACCUCUUAAGUUCAUAUCUAUCCUGGCAAGCAAGGAUAGCUGCAGAAGAUUCUGCAUCAAAAAGAUAACCUCCAGGAAUAGGAGGCAUAUUUUCAUCAUCACUCUCAUCAUUGUAUUCAGGUGCAAUAAUUUCUCUUUCUCUAGACCUAGCAAUUUGCUCAUCAAGAAAUUCACCAAGGGGCACAGUAGUAUCAAGCAUAGAAGUGGUUUCAUCAUAAGUAUCACGCAUAGCAGAAGUGGCAUCAUCAAUAACAUGCGAUAUAUCAGAAUUCAUAACAGUAGCAGGUUUAGGCGUCGCAAGCUUACUCAUAACAGAAGGAGAAUCUAGUGCAAGGCUAGAUGGCAGUUCCUUACCUCCCCUCGUAGUUGAGGGCAAAAUCUUGGUCUUAGCGUCUUUCAAGUUCUUCAUAGUGUCCAGCAGAUAUAAAUCCCAAGUGACUCAAAGAAUAGAGCUAUGCUCCCCGGCAACGGCGCCAGAAAAAGGUCUUGAUAACCCACAAGUAUAGGGGAUCGCAAUAGUUUUCGAGGGUAGAGUAUUCAACCCAAAUUUGUUGAUUCGACACAAGGGGAGCCAAAGAAUAUUCUCAAGUAUUAGCAGCUGAGUUGUCAAUUCAACCACACCUGGAAAUUUAGUAUCUAUAGCAAGGUGUUUAGUAGCAAAGUAAUAUGAUAGUGGUGGUAAUGGUAACAAAAGUAAAUACAGCAAAAGUAAUGUUUUUGGUAUUUUGUAGUGAUUGUAACAAUAAUAAUGGAAAAGUAAAUAAGCGAGAACCAGUAUAUGGAAAACUCAUAGGCACCGGAUCAGUGAUGGAUAAUUAUGUCGGAUGUGGUUCAUUAUGUAACAGUCAUAACAUAGGGUGACGCGGAACUAGCUCCAGUUCAUCAAUGUAAUGUAGGCAUGUAUUCCGAAUAUAAUCAUACGUGCUUAUGGAAAAGAACUUGCAUGACAUCUUUUGUCCUACCCUCCCGUGGCAGCGGGGUCCUAUUGGAAACUAAGGGAUAUUAAGGCCUCCUUUUAAUAGAGAACCGGAACAAAGCAUUAGCACAUAGUGAAUACAUGAACUCCUCAAACUAUGGUCAUCACCGGGAGUGGUUCCGAUUAUUGUCACUUCGGGGUUGCCGGAUCAUAACACAUAGUAGGUGACUAUAGACUUGCAAGAUAGGAUCAAGAACUCACAUAUAUUCAUGAAAACAUAAUAGGUUCAGAUCUGAAAUCAUGGCACUCGGUCCCUAGUGACAAGCAUUAAGCAUAGCAAAGUCAUAGCAACAUCAAUCUCAAAACAUAAUGGAUACUAGGGAUCAAACCCUAACAAAACUAACUCGAUUACAUGAUAAAUCUCAUCCAACCCAUCACCGUCCAGCAAGCCUACGAUGGAAUUACUCACGCACGGAGGUGAGCAUCAUGAAAUUGGUGAUGGAGGAUGGUUGAUGAUGACAACGGCGACGAAUCCCCCUCUCCGGAGCCCCGAACGGACUCCAGAUCAGCCCUCCCAAGAGAUAUUAGGGCUUGGUGGCGGCUCCGUAUCGUAAAACGCGAUGAUUUUUUCUCUCUGAUUUUUUUCUCCCCGAAGGCCAAUAUAUGGAGUUGGAGUUGGCGUCGGAGGGCCACCAGGGGGCCCACGAGGUAGGCGGCACCCCAGGGGGCGCGCCCCCCACCCUCAUGGACAGGGUGUGGGCCCCCUGGUCUUCUUCUUUGGCGAGCAUUUUUUAUUAAUUAUUCUAAGACAUUCCGUGGAGUUUCAGGUCGUUCCGAGAACUUUUAUUUUCUGCACAAAAACAACACCAUGGCAAUUCUGCUGAACAGCGUCAGUCCGAGUUAGUUCCAUUCAAAUCACACAAGUUAGAGUCCAAAACAAGGGCAGAAGUGUUUGGAAAAGUAGAUACGACGGAGACAUAUCACCCCACAAGAUGACUUUUGUCCCGUUGUAUUUGGUAGACCCUUCUUAAAUACUGUUAAUGCUAGAAUCGAUUGCGAAAAGGAUGUUGUCACGAUUGGCUUGGAUGAUAUGACUCAGGAGUUUAAUUUUGCUAAAUUUCGUGGACAACUCCGUGAUAAAGAUUUGUCUAGUAAGGAUGAAAUUAUUGGUCUUGCUUCUAUUGCCGUGCCUCCUACUGAUCCGUUAGAACAAUAUUUGCUAGACCAUGAAAAUGAUAUGUUAUGAAUGAAAGAAUGGAAAUAGUUAAAGUGUUCCUUCAACAGGGUCCUAUUCUGAAACACAACUUACCUGUUGAAAUCCUAGGGGAUCCCCCUUCACCCAAGGGUGAUCCCGUGUUUGAGCUCAAACCUUUACCUAGUAAUCUUAAAUAUGCUUAUCUUGAUGAAAAGAAGAUAUAUCCUGUUAUUAUUAGCACUAACCUUUCAGAGCAAGAAGAGGAAAGAUUAUUGAAAACUCUGAAGAAGCACCGUGCUGCUAUUGGAUAUACUCUAGAUGAUCUUAAGGGCAUUAGUCCCACUCUAUGCCAACAUAUAAUUAAAUUGGACGAAGGUUCCUAACUAGUUAGAGAUCAUCAAUGACGGUUAAAUCCUAAGAUGAAAGAAGUGCUAAGAAAUGAGAUACUAAAGCUCCUUGAGGCAGGUAUAAUUUAUCCCGUUGCUAAUAGUGAUUGGGUAAGUCCUAUCCAUUGCAUUCCUAAGAAGGGAGGAAUUACUGUUGUUCCUAAUGAUAAAGAUGAAUUGAUUCCGCAAAGAAUUAUUACAGGUUAUAGGAUGGUAAUCAAUUUCCGUAAACUAACUAAAGCUACUAAGAAAGAUCAUUACCCUUUACAUUUUAUUGAUCAAAUGCUAGAAAGACUAUCCAAACAUACACAUUUCUUCUUUCUAGAUGGUUAUUCUGGUUUGUCUCAAAUACCUGUGUCGGCGGAGGAUCAAUCAAAAACUACUUUUACUUGCCAUUUCGGUACUUUUGCUUAUAGACGUAUGCCGUUUGGUUUAUGUAAUGCACCUGCUACCUUUCAAAGAUGCAUGAUGGCUAUAUUCUCUGACUUUUGUAAAAAGAUUUGUCAGAUAUUCAUGGAUGACUUCUCCGUUUAUGGAUCCUCUUUUGAUGAUUGCUUGAGCAACCUUGAUCGAGUUUUGCAGAGAUGUGAAGACACUAGUCUUGUCUUGAAUUGGGAAAAGUGUCACUUCAUGGUUAAUGAAGGCAUUGUCUUGGGGCAUAAAAUUUCUGAAAAAGGUAUUGAUGUUGAUAGAGCUAAAGUUGAUGCUAUUGAAAAGAUGUCAUGUCCCAAGGACAUUAAAGGUAUAAGAAGUUUCCUUGGCAUGCCGGUUUUUAUAGGAGGUUCAUUAAGGACUUUUCUAAAAUCUCUAGGCCUCUGACUAAUUUAUUGCAAAAAGAUAUUCCUUUUUUCUUUGAUGAUGAUUGUGUAGAAGCAUUUGAAAUACUUAAGAAAGCUUUUAUCACUGCACCUAUCAUUCAGCCACCUGAUUGGAAUUUACCCUUUGAAAUUAUGUGUGAUGCUAGCGAUUAUGCUGUAGGUGUUGUUCUAGGGCAAAGAGUUGAUAAGAAAUUAAAUGCUAUCCAGUAUGCUAGUAAAACUCUUGAUACUGCCCAAAGAAAUUAUGCUACUACUAAAAAAGAAUUCUUAGCGGUUGUAUUUGCAUGUGAUAAGUUCAGACCUUAUAUUGUUGAUUCUAAAGUAACUAUUCACACUGAUCAUGCUACAAUUAAAUAUCUUAUGGAAAAGAAAGAUGCUAAACCUAGACUUAUUAGAUGGGUCCUCUUGCUCCAAGAAUUUGAUUUGCAUAUUAAUGAUAGAAAGGGAGCUGAGAACCCCGUUGCAGACAACUUGUCUAGGUUAGAGAAUGUUCUUGAUGACCCACUACCUAUUGAUGAUAGCUUUCCUGAUGAACAAUUAGCGGUCAUUAAUGCUUCUCGUACUGCUCCAUGGUAUGCUAAUUAUGCUAAUUACAUUGUUGAUAAAUUUAUACCACCUAGUUUCACAUACCAGCAAAAGAAAGAGUUCUUUUAUGAUUUAAGACAUUACUUCUGGGAUGACCCACACAUUUAUAAAGAAGGAGUAGAUGGUGUUAUUAGACGUUGUGUACCUGAGCAUGAACAGGAACAGAUCCUACGCAUGUGUCACUCCGAACCAUAUUGAGGACACCACGCUGGAGAUAGAACUGCACAUAAGGUAUUGCAAUCUGGUUUUUAUUGGCCUACUCUCUUCAAAGAUGCCCGUAAGUUUGUCUUGUCUUGUGAUGAAUGUCAAAGAAUUGGUAAUAUUAGUAGACGUCAAGAAAUGACUAUGAAUUAUUCUCUUGUUAUUGAACCAUUUGAUGUUUGGGGCUUUGAUUAUAUGGGACCUUUUCCUGCCUCCAAUGGAUACACACAUAUUUUAGUUGUUGUCGAUUACGUUACUAAGUGGGUAGAAGCUAUUCCAACUAGUAGUGUUGAUCAUAACACCUCUAUUAAGAUGCUUAAAGAAGUUAUUUUUCCGAGGUUUGGAGUCCCUAGAUAUCUCAUGAAUGAUGGUGGUUCACAUUUUAUUCAUGGUGCCUUCCGUAAAAUGCUUGCUAAAUAUGAUGUUAAUCAUAGAAUUGCAUCUUCUUAUCACCCACAGUCUAGUGGUCAAGUAGAAUUUAGUAAUAGAGGGCUAAAAUUAAUUUUGCAAAAGACUGUUAAUAGAUCUAGAAAGAAUUGGUCCAAGAAACUUGAUGAUGCAUUAUGGGCCUAUAGAACUGCAUAUAAAAAUCCUAUGGGUAUAUCUCCGUAUAAGAUGGUUUAUGGAAAAGCAUGUCACUUACCUCUUGAACUUGAACAUAAGGCAUAUUGGGCCAUUAAAGAGCUCAACUAUGAUUUCAAACUUGCCGGUGAGCAUAUUUGACAUUAGCUCACUUGAUGAAUGGAGAACCCAAUCCUAUGAGAAUGCCAAUCUGUUUAAAGAUGGCAUGAUAAAAGGAUACAAAAGCGUGAGUUUAACGUAGGUGAUUAUGUGUUGCUAUUCAACUCUCGUUUAAGAUUUUUUGCAGGAAAACUUCUCUCUAAAUGGGAAGGUCCUUACAUUAUCGAGGAGGUCUAUCGUUCCGGUGCCAUAAAAAUCAACAACUUCGAAGGCACAAAUCCGAGGGUGGUGAACGGUCAAAGAAUCAAACAUUAUAUCUCAGGUAACCCUAUAAAUGUUGAAACUAAUAUUAUUGAAACCGUAACCCCGGAGGAAUACAUAAGGGACACUUUCCAGAACGUUUCAGACUCCGAAAAGGAAUAGGUAUGUGGUACGGUAAGUAAACCGACUCCAAAACAAUUCUAAUGGCAAUUUUCCUCCGUUUUGGAAUAUUUAAAAAAAUUGGAAGCAAGAAGUAAUCUAGGAAGGACACGAGGCCUCCACGAGGGUGGAGGGCGUGCCCCCUGUCUCGUGGGCUCCUCGUGUGCCUCCCGGACUCUGUUUUCUUGCAUGUUACUUCUUUUGGUCGGUAAAAAUUCAUUAUAUAAUCUCCCGAAGGUUUUGACCACCGUAUCACGCAAAAAUCUUAUGUCUUUGUUUCGAGCUGUUUUUCUGACAGAUCUAGGGCACCAUGACGUCUCCAAGUGCUCCCAAGAACAAGUUUUUUGAGAGGGUUAUCAACCCCUAUCUUGCGGAGGUGCUACAACACCCUCAAACCAUUGAGAUGCGUGAGGGGGUGCUGCACAUCCGCGAUGUGGAGGGACCCAGGUGUACCGGAAGCGUGGAGACAAAGCUCAAAGCUAUGGAACAGCAAGUUUUCAAGUGUCAAUAGAUGGUGGAGCGUGGACUCAACGCCAACCAGAUGAUGAUCACGGAGUUCACCAACAACCACAAGCUGGAUGCCAAGGACAUUGGGGAGACCAUAUUCAAGCUUCAUGAGAAAAUCGAGCAUCUCCAAGCCCAGAUCUAUGACCUGCAAAACCAAAACUGUGAGUAUGAAUAUAGAUUCAAGAGGAUGAGUUUGGCUGCAGAUUUGAGGAUCCCGGAGACUCGAUCAUCCUUCUAUGAUGGUGAGCCUAUGCCUUGGAAGACGGACGACAAGCCUACAUCAUCAACAACUCCUUCUUCACCGCCUCCAAGGACAUAAUCACAUGGGUAUGGGCACUCCCCUUGGCAACUGCCAAGCUUGGGGGAGGUGCCCCGGUAUCGUAUCACCAUCACACUCCUAUCUUUACAGUUUUUCUUAGUUUGAUCCUUUUGGUAAUAUCUAGAUCUAGUAGAAUAAAGUUUUGGUUUGAAUUAGCUUUGAGUUUUGCUUUGUGAUCCUUCUAUGUAAUCGAGUCCGUGAGUUAUAUAUAAUAAAGAUUAGUGUUGAGUCCAGGGCUUUGCUAUCUUGCUAUGAUCUUGAGAAAAAUAGAAAGAAUAAAAAGAAUAUAAUAGUUCAUAUUGACCUUAUGAUAAUAAUGACUUCACAUAUAAAGAGUAUGAGGCUUAAAAGUUGUUGAGAGUUGACAAACAUAGUUUUGGUCAUCGUUGCAAUUAAUAGGAAGUAAUAAGGAAAGAGAGGUUUUCACAUAUAAAUAUACUAUCUUGGACAUCUUUUAUACUCCCUGCGUUCGGAAUUACUUGUCAUAGAAAUGGAUGUAUCUAGAUGUAUUUUAGUUCUAGAUACAUCCAUUUCCGAGACAAGUAAUUCCGAACGGAGGGAGUAAUUGUGAGCACUCAUUAAAGUAUGACAUGCUAAAGAGUUGAUGUUGGACAAGGAAGACAACGUAAUGGUUUAUGUUUUCUCACAUCCCAGUUAAAGUAUAUUGUCAUGGAUCAUUCAACAUGUUGAGCUUGCCUUUCCCCCUCAUGCUAGCCAAAAAUUCCUAGCACCAAGUAGAGAUACUACUUGUGCUUCCAAAUAUCCUUAAACCCAGUUUUGCCAUGAGAGUCCACCAUAUCUACCUAUGGAUUGAGUAAGAUCCUUCAAGUAAGUUGUCAUCGGUGCAGGCAAUAAAAAUUGCUCUCUAAAUAUGCAUGACUUAUUAGUGCGGAGAAAAUAAGCUUUAUACGAUCUUGUUAUGGAAGCAAUAAAAGCGACGGACUGCAUAAUAAAGGUCCAUAUACAAGUGGCAAUAUAAAGUGACGUUCUUUUGCAUUAAGAUUUUGUGUAUCCAACCCUAAAAGCGCAUGAUAACCUCUGCUUCCCUCUGCGAAGGGCCUAUCUUUUACUUUAUGUCUUUUACUUUAUGCAAGAGUCAAGGUGAUCUCCACCUUUCCCUUUUUCAUUUUAUCCUUUGGCAAGCACCUCGUGUUGGAAAGAUCCUGAUACAUAUAUCCAAUUGGAUGUUCGUUAGCAUGAACUAUUAUUGUUGACAUCACCCAAAGGUGAAUACGUUGGGAGGCAACACUAUAAGUCCCUAUCUUUCUCAGUGUCCGAUUAAAACUUCAUAACCAUAAGUAUUGUGUGAGUGUUAGCAAUUGUAGAAGACUAUAUGAUAGUUGAGUAUGUGGACUUGCUGAAAAGCUCUAUUCUUGACUCUUUCUGAUGUUAUGAUAAAUUGCAAUUGCUUUAAUGACUGAGAUUAUAGUUUGUUAGUUUUCAAUGAAGUUUCUGAACCAUACUUGACAUUGUGAAUAGAUUGUUACUUAAGAAUAAGAAAUCAUAUGACAAAAUCUAUAUAUGUUGCAGUUAUAAGAAUGAUCAUGAUGCCCUCAUGUCCGUAUUUUAUUUUUUAUUGACACCUCUAUCUCUAAGCAUGUGGACAUAUUUCUCGAUAUCGGCUUCCGCUUGAGGACAAGCGAGGUCUAAGCUUGGGGGAGUUGAUACGUCCAUUUUGCAUCAUGCUUUUAUAUCAAUAUUUAUUGCAUUAUGGGCUGUUAUUACACGUUAUGUCACAAUACUUAUGGAUAUUCUCUCUUAUUUUACAAGGUUUAUCGUGAAGAGGGAGAAUGCCGGCAGCUGGGAUUCUGGCUGGAAAAGGGAGCAAAUAUUGGAAACCUAUUCUGCACAGCUCCAAAAUACCUGCAACUCCAAGAAAGUCAUUUUUGGAUUUAAUAAGAAUUAUUGGGCAAAUAAAAUACCUAAGGGGGCCCACACCCUGGCCAGGAGGGUGGGGGUGCCCCCCCCCUACUCGGGGCGCCCCCUGUUUCCUGGGCCCCCUGGUGGCCCUCCGGUGCCCAUCUUCUGCUAUCUGAGGUCUUUUACCCUAAAAAAAAUCAUAAGCACGCUCACGAGACGAAACUCCAUCGCCACGAGGCGGAACCUUGGCAGAACCAAUCUAGGGCUCCGAUGGAGCUGUUCUGUCGGGGAAACUUCCCUCCGGGAGGGGGGAAUCAUCACCAUCAUCAUCAUCAACGAUCCUCUCAUCAGGAGGGGGUCAAUCUCCAUCAACAUAUUCACCAGCACCAUCUCCUCUCAAACCCUAGUUCAUCUCUUGUACCAAUCUUGUAUCCAAAACCACAAAUUGGUACCUGUGGGUUGCUAAUAGUGUUGAUUACUCCUUGUAGUUGAUGCUAAUUGGUUUACUUGGUGGAAGAUCAUAUGUUCAGAUCCUUUAUGCAGAUUAAUACCCCUCUGAUUAUGAACAUGAAUAUGCUUUGUGAGUAGUUCCGUUUGUUCCUGAGGACAUGGGUGAAGUCUUGCUAUUAGUAGUCAUGUGAAUUUGGUAUUCGUUCGAUAUUUUGAUGAGAUGUAUGUUGUCUCUCCUCUAGUGGUGUUAUGUGAAUGUCGACUACAUGACACUUCACCAUUAUUUGGGCCUAGAGGAAGGCAUUGGAAAGUAAUAAGUAGAUGAUGGGUUGCUAGAGUGACAGAAGCUUAAACCCUAGUUUAUGCGUUGCUUCAUAAGGGGCUGAUUUGGAUCCAUUAGUUUCAUGCUAUGGUUAGGUUUAGCUUAAUACUUAUUUUGUAGUUGCGGAUGCUUGCAAUAGGGGUUAAUCAUAAGUGGGAUGCUUGUCCAAGAAAGGGCAGUACCCAAGCACCGGUCCACCCACAUAUCAAAUUAUCAAAGUAAUUAACGCGAAUCAUAUGAGCAUGAUGAAACUAGCUUGACGAUAAUUCCCAUGUGUCCUCGGGAGCAUUUUUCUCAUUAUAAGAAAUUGUCCAAGCUUGUCCUUUGCUACAAAAAGGAUUGGGCCACCUUGCUGCACCUUAUUUAGUUUCAUUGCUUGUUACCCGUUACAAAUUAUCUUAUCACAAAACUAUCUAUUACCUAUAAUUUCAGUGCUUGCAGAGAAUACCUUACUGAAAACCGCUUGUCAUUUCCUUCUGCUCCUCGUUGGGUUCGACACUCUUACUUACCGAAAGGACUACGAUAGAUCCCCUAUACUUGUGGGUCAUCAAGACUCUUUUCUGGCGCCGUUGCCGGGUAGUGAAGCGCCUUUGGUGAGUGGAACUUGGUAAGGAAACAUUUAUAUAGUGUGCUGAAAUUUUCUUUCACUUGUUACUAUGGAAACUAAUCCUUUGAGGGGAUUGUUCGGGGCAUCGUCACCCCGACCAGUAGAGCAAAGAGUUGCUCCUCAACCUACUGAACCUACUGAAAAUGUUCACUUCAAAAUUCCUUCGAGUAUGAUAGAGAAACUGCUAGCUAAUCCCUUUGCAUCCCGGUUUACACCUUAUCUUUGUAGAUGAAGUUUGUGGAUUACUUAAGCUUGCAGGUAUUCCCGAUGAUGUUGUCAAGAGGAAGGUCUUUCCUCUAUCUUUGAGUGGAGACGCAUUGACAUGGUAUAGGCUAUGUGAUGAUACGGGAUCUUGGAAUUAUAAACAAUUGAAGUUGGAAUUUCACCAGAAGUUCUAUCCUAUGCAUAUUGUUCAUCGUGAUCGUAAUUACGUAUAUAACUUCUAGCCUCGCGAAGGAGAAAGCAUUUCUCAAGCUUGGGGGAGGCUUAAGUCAAUGUUAUAUUCAUUCCCCAAUCAUGAGCUCUCAAGAGAAAUGAUUAUUCAAAAAAUUUAUGCUCGGCUUUCUCUCAAUGAUCGCACCAUGCUCGAUACUUCCUGUGCGAGUUCUUAUAUGUUGAAGACUACUGAAUUCAAGUGGAAUUUAUUGGAAAGAAUUAAACGCAACUCUGAAGAUUGGGGUUCCGACGAUGGUAAGGAGUCAGGUAUGACACUUAAGUUUGAUUGUGUUAAAUCUUUUAUGGAUACCGAUGCUUUUCGUGGAUUUAGCGCUAAAUAUGGACUUGACUCUGAGAUAGUAGCUUCUUUCUGUGAAUCUUUUUCUACUCACGUUGAUCUCCCUAAGGAGAAGUGGUAUAAAUAUAAUCCUCCCAUUGAAGUAAAAGUAGUUGCACCUAUUACAGUUGAAGAAAAGACUAUCACUUAUAAUGAUCCUAUUGUUCCUACUACUUUUGUUGAGACACCAUCUUUUCCUGUUAGAAUACCCCUCUGACUAUGCAUAUUAAUACCCCUCUGAUUAUGAACAUGAAUAUGCUUUGUGAGUAGUUCCAUUUGUUCCUGAGGACCUGGAUGAAGUCUUGCUAUUAGUAGUCAUGUGAAUUUGGUAUUCGUUCGAUAUUUUGAUGAGAUGUAUGUUGUCUCUCCUCUAGUGGUGUUAUGUGAACGCUACAUGACACUUCACCAUUAUUUGGGCCUAGAGGAAGGCAUUGGGAAGUAAUAAGUAGAUGAUGGGUUGCUAGAGUGACAGAAGCUUAAACCUUAGCUUAUGCGUUGCUUCGUAAGGGGCUGAUUUGGAUCCAUUAGUUUUAUGCUAUGGUUAGGUUUACCUUAAUACUUAUUUUGUAGUUGCGGAUGCUUGCAAUAGGGGUUAAUAAUAAGUGGGAUGCUUGUCCAAGAAAGGGCAGUACCCAAGCACCGGUCCACCCACAUAACAAAUUAUCAAAGUAACGAACGCGAAUCAUAUGAGCGUGAUAAAACUAACUUGGCAAUAAUUCCCAUGUGUCCUCGGGGGCGCUUUUCUCAUUAUAAGAAAUUGUCCAGGCUUUUCUCGCGUCCUUCCUUUUUUUUGUGCACCAAACUACUUUCAUUUGAUCGCCGAACUGUGGCACUGACGCCGAACUAUUGCGAUGAUCGCCGGAUUGUGGCUUUUUUUUUGGAGCGGGAACGAUCGAGUUUGAAUAUGGGCCGCGUGUCGGGCGCCUUGGGAGGCGGCACCUGGGGGCGUGGCUAGGGCCUUAGUCGCCCCCAGGGUCUAAAAAUCGCCGGCUGGACGCCCGAAAAUGCGCCGACCUAUGCGCUGGGGGGCCGAACGAGUGGAGAUGCUCUUAGACAUUUGGUACUAUCCCUGGAAGAAGGGGAAGUUCUCUUCCAUGCAACUGUACAAGUGGAUUCACAAAGGCAACUCUGCUACAAUGCUCAGAUACAAAAUCUUCUUUCGGCUGCUGCUGUAUGAUCGAGUUAACUCCAGGAACCUGCUCCAAAGGAAAAAAUUUAUUCCUCCUAUCCUACCUCUGUGAGAUGUGUCGUUCCAACACUGAAGAAACUGCUCUCCAUUUGUUCUGGGAUUGUGCUUUUGCUCUAGAAUGUUGGAACUCCAUUAUUCCCACUAGAAGAAGAGGCAUUUNNNNNNNNNNNNNNNNNNNNNNNNNNNNNNNNNNNNNNNNNNNNNNNNNNNNNNNNNNNNNNNNNNNNNNNNNNNNNNNNNNNNNNNNNNNNNNNNNNNNNNNNNNNNNNNNNNNNNNNNNNNNNNNNNNNNNNNNNNNNNNNNNNNNNNNNNNNNNNNNNNNNNNNNNNNNNNNNNNNNNNNNNNNNNNNNNNNNNNNNNNNNNNNNNNNNNNNNNNNNNNNNNNNNNNNNNNNNNNNNNNNNNNNNNNNNNNNNNNNNNNNNNNNNNNNNNNNNCAAUGGAUAUUUUCAUCAUGUAAUAGCAUCUGUUGAUUUACACAGCCCAAAAAAUGUUGCUCCAUUGUUAAUUUCUUUGUAACUCUCUGCCUCAUAAUCAUUUCCAAUGAAUCUCAAGGAGUGGUGGAGCUGACAUAGUGCAGUAUUUGUUAGCUUGUUGAUUCUACAAGAGUCUGCCUACGAGUUUCAUGAUUCAUCUGAACUCAGGUUCAAAUUUGUUGGGAUCUCUGAAUUCUUGGGAUCACAUCGUUCGUUAUCUGAAGAUUUCCAGUUUCAUAUAAAGGAUAGGAUAGAAUUCCAGUAAGACAUGACACAUAUUCUCUACAAGUGUGACAUUUUUGCAGAGCUACAUGCAAAAGUGCUUACAUAUCAUGACACACUGAAAUUACAUGCAUCACUGACAGGAAAAUCAACAUUUCUCCCAUUCCUCCAUAUAAACCAGGCGGGAUAAUAGAUACUUAUAUAACAAAACUAUAAUGCGGUCUUUGCAAAUGAAGCCCUGCCA
rnacentral:lncRNA from 1 species